rnacentral:rRNA from 1 species
GACGAACGCUGGCGGCGUGCUUAACACAUGCAAGUCGAACGGUGAAGGGGCCUGCUUUUGUGGGCCCUGGAUGAGUGGCGAACGGGUGAGUAACACGUGAGUAACCUGCCCCCUUCUUCUGGAUAACCGCAUGAAAGUGUGGCUAAUACGGGAUAUUCUGGGUCUGUCGCAUGAUGGGUCUGGGAAAGAUUGCGCCUUUGGGUGUUUUUGGUGGGGGAUGGGCUCGCGGCCUAUCAGCUUGUUGGUGGGGUGAUGACCUACCAAGGCGGUGACGGGUAGCCGGCCUGAGAGGGUGGACGGUCACACUGGGACUGAGACACGGCCCAGACUCCUACGGGAGGCAGCAGUGGGGAAUAUUGCACAAUGGGCGCAAGCCUGAUGCAGCGACGCCGCGUGAGGGAUGGAGGCCUUCGGGUUGUAAACCUCUUUCGCCAGUGAAGCAGGCCUGCUCCUUGUGGGUGGGUUGACGGUAGCUGGAUAAGAAGCGCCGGCUAACUACGUG